rnacentral:lncRNA from 1 species
GGAAAGGUUGAUCUCUAAAGAAUUAGCGACCAAAUUUAAUAUCCGACCCCUCUGGGGCUCCUCAUAAAUAUAGCCAAGGCAAUAUCAAUAACCUACUCAAGUAGUCAACAUUGAUUUAUAUGUACAUAUAUACAAAAUUGUGGACCGUAAAUACUUUCACUAAUUGUGGACCAAAAAUUGCAGUUUAUGGACCAAAAAUUGCAAUUUCAGUGACUCAAGUCCAUAUUCCAGUUCAUGGAAUUUACACAAUGGUCAUCAGUUUAUGGUUAGAGAUUCUGAUAAAUUGGAUUGUCAAGUUCAUUAUUCUAUUUUUAUAGAAAAAGAACAGAACACACAGUAUUUAAGAAAAUGGGGACAAGAAGUUCACCCACUGAACAAAUGGAAAACAAGACAAAAAACACUUAAAAG